CGCAUUCGCCCUUCGGGGCGCACCAGGCGCGAAAACUUUACAAUGCGGGAAACCGUGAUAAGGGAACUCCGAGUGCCCGUAAAAUCGGGCUGUCCAUCUGUUUAAAUAACAGGUGAAGAAAGGGCCGGGCAAGACCGGUGCCAGCCGCCGCGGUAAUACCGGCGGCUCGAGUGGUGGCCACUAUUACUGGGCUUAAAGCGUUCGUAGCUGGUCUGUUAAGUCUCUGGGGAAAUCUACUGGCUUAACCAAUAGGCGUUUCAGGGAUACUGGCAGACUAGGGACCGGGAGAGGUGAGGGGUACUCCAGGGGUAGGAGUGAAAUCCUGUAAUCCUUGGGGGACCACCUGUGGCGAAGGCGCCUCACCAGAACGGCUCCGACAGUGAGGGACGAAAGCUGGGGGAGCAAACCGGAUUAGAUACCCGGGUAGUCCCAGCCGUAAACGAUGCGCGUUAGGUGUAUCGGUGACCACGAGUCACCGAGGUGCCGAAGAGAAAUCGUGAAACGUGCCGCCUGGGAAGUACGGUCGCAAGGCUGAAACUUAAAGGAAUUGGCGGGGGAGCAC
rnacentral:rRNA from 1 species